rnacentral:rRNA from 19 species
ACGGGUGCGUAACGCGUGGGAAUCUGCCCUUGGGUUCGGAAUAACUCGCCGAAAGGCGUGCUAAUACCGGAUGAUGUCGUAAGACCAAAGAUUUAUCGCCCAAGGAUGAGCCCGCGUAAGAUUAGCUAGUUGGUGGGGUAAAGGCCCACCAAGGCGACGAUCUUUAGCUGGUCUGAGAGGAUGAUCAGCCACACUGGGACUGAGACACGGCCCAGACUCCUACGGGAGGCAGCAGUGGGGAAUAUUGGACAAUGGGCGAAAGCCUGAUCCAGCAAUGCCGCGUGAGUGAUGAAGGCCUUAGGGUUGUAAAGCUCUUUUACCCGGGAUGAUAAUGACAGUACCGGGAGAAUAAGCUCCGGCUAACUCCGUGCCAGCAGCCGCGGUAAUACGGAGGGAGCUAGCGUUGUUCGGAAUUACUGGGCGUAAAGCGCACGUAGGCGGCUUUGUAAGUCAGAGGUGAAAGCCUGGAGCUCAACUCCAGAACUGCCUUUGAGACUGCAUCGCUUGAAUCCAGGAGAGGUGAGUGGAAUUCCGAGUGUAGAGGUGAAAUUCGUAGA